UGAGUAACCUGCCCUUAACUCUGGGAUAAGCCCUGGGAAACUGGGUCUAAUACCGGAUAUGACUCCUCAUCGCAUGGUGGGGGGUGGAAAGCUUUAUUGUGGUUUUGGAUGGACUCGCGGCCUAUCAGCUUGUUGGUGAGGUAAUGGCUCACCAAGGCGACGACGGGUAGCCGGCCUGAGAGGGUGACCGGCCACACUGGGACUGAGACACGGCCCAGACCUCCUACGGGAGCAG
rnacentral:rRNA from 1 species